rnacentral:tRNA from 1 species
GUCCCCGUCGUCUAGGGGUUAGGACAAUGCUCUUUCAAAGCUUAAACACGGGUUCAAAUCCCGUCGGGGUCG